AGCGGUUUCGAGUUGAAGGCU
rnacentral:miRNA from 1 species